ACCCCUACGGGGGGCAGCAGUGGGGAAUCUUCGGCAAUGGGCGCAAGCCUGACCGAGCCAUGCCGCGUGAGCGAUGAAGGCCUUAGGGUUGUAAAGCUCUUUCGCCUGUGAUGAUAAUGACAGUAGCAGGUAAAGAAACCCCGGCUAACUCCGUGCCAGCAGCCGCGGUAA
rnacentral:rRNA from 1 species